rnacentral:rRNA from 1 species
GACGAACGCUGGCGGCGUGCUUAACACAUGCAAGUCGAGCGGUAAGGCCCUUUCGGGGGUACGACGAGCGGCGAACGGGUGAGUAACACGUGGGUGACCUGCCCUCAGCUCUGGGAGUAAGACCUGGGAAACCGGGUACUAAUACCGGAUAUGACUCCAUGACGCAUGUUGUGGGGUGGAAAGCCUUGUGCGGCUGAGGAUGGGCCCGCGGCCUAUCAGCUUGUUGGUGGGGUGAUGGCCUACCAAGGCGACGACGGGUAGCCGGCCGUGAGAGGGCGA